GUCUAUGGCCAUGCUACUCUGAACAAGUCCGAUCCCAUCUGAUCUCAGAAGCUAAGCAAGGUCGGGCCUGCUUAGAACUUGGAUGGGAGACCACUUAGGAUGACCAGGUACUGUAGGAG
rnacentral:rRNA from 1 species